GGCGGAGUCUUGGGUUGUCAGAAAGUCACGCCUCACGCUAAACGUCGCUCACAGCCCUCUGCUGAUGUGCUCAGUGAAAGAAUGGAAGUCUUCGUCACUUAGGUUUUUUGUGUGAUCAUUGUUUUAAGAUGUUCUCAGAGGCUAGUUCCAGAGCUAAUCUAUCAAAUCCGAAGACCUUUGUUAGCACAGAGGAAAUUUUGGCACACUGAGACACUAGUGGCAAAAGCAGAGAGGAAAGACCAUGUGAUGACACAGGCAGGAGGCCACCAAGGAGUUUCAGACAAGGAUGCCAACACCUUGAACUUGAACUUCCAGGCUUCUAAACUAUUAGAAAAUAAAUUUCUGUUGUUUAAGCCACUCAGUAUUCUGUGAUACCUUGUUAUGGCAGCCCUAGCAAACUAAUGUAGUAACUUCAUAUUUAAUGUUUACUUAAAAUACUUAGUGAAAGGGAUGUAUAUAAUUUGGAGACUGCUGAUUCAUUUAGCUAAGUCAUAAAUUAUUUCCUCAUCAGCACACAAAAGGAAUUUACAACUCAUGCUCUAAGCUGGCAAAUGAUUUUCUUUAUAUUUGCCCUUUAGUUACAAGCAGGUCCUCUUCGUUAAAGGAAAUUCAUUUCUGACUUACCAUUUUUUUCUCAAAGAAAAAACAGACUUCUGUGUUUCCAAAAAGACAGUGAAUUAUUGCUAUUUUGAUAAUUUAUACCAUUCUUUAAUGUAAAUUUUGAAAUAUAUGAAUUAUUCUUUGGAUCAACUAGAAUGUAUAUCCUGAUAAAUUAGAAGACAAGUAUUAAGGAGGAUCUCAGUUGCAAAGUAUACCCCAUUAGAGAAAAACUUAGGUAGUAAAGCCAAAGAUAAUAAAAUUUAUAAGCCACAGCUUUAUUUGUAUAAGCAGUUUCAUUUUUGAUAAGCUUUUGCCACUUAGAAGAAUUGUUGUUUGGUGUGUGUGGAAUGGGAGAAACUGAGUAACAUGAAAACCAUAGCAUAUAGAAUCAAAUAUAAAAUAAAAUAUUGUCAUAGUAAAAGAACACUUCAUAGGACAUCAGCCUUAAAUAUAAUGGCAUAUUCCAUAGUUGAAUGUCUCUGGAUUAUUCACAGCAAGUUUUACAAAUUAGGUAAAUUCUGGUCUUUCAUCUGGCACUUAAAAGAGCAUUUAAUUUUAAAUUUGCAGAAAAUAUGGCACUUAAGCUUUACGAAAUUAUGAAUUUGCUUUCUCCAUUAUAAAAGACAAAUUACAAAAAAACUAGUUUGAGACAUUGAGGAAAACACAAAAUCAAUGAUUCUAAGAAAUUCACUGCUGGCAUUUGACAUUUCUAAUAUUGCUUCCAGAAAUAGUUUUAUACUUAAAAUCAAUUACAUACAAAAUCAUAUAUGUUAUAUAUGCAUUUUACACAUAAAGAUAUAUGGAUUAAUUACCUUCCAAGUAAGUGAAACUAUAUUUUUAUUCAGUAGCUUUAUCUUACUUAACGAGACAGAAACUGUCAUCUAGAAUCAUAAGGUGAUAUUUUUUAACUGCCUUUAAAAGGAGAGCAUUCUUUCCCACAUAUGUAAAAAUGUGCAGAGAAAAAAGUUUUUCAUGUAAAGUAGUAAAAUUCAUUAUUUUAAUAUAUUGACUUAAAAUAUCUUUUUAACAGUCGCAUUUAAAAAAAAUCCUUUCUAAUUACCCAAAAGAAGUCAUUUUAGUUUAUCGAAUGAAAAGCAAAACAACAUGUUAAUAUAAAUUAUUUUUAUUGUGUGAAAAUGUCAUAAUUCAUAAUGAUUAAUUAAAAAUGCAGCAUAUAACAAAAUAGGCAUUUACUUGUUAAAAGCCACUGGAUUUACAAAACUUUAAACAUAUUUUUAGAAUGCUUUAAGAAUAUGAAUUAAUUUUUGAGAGAUAUACAAAGCAUUUAUUCCAUUUUAUCAUACAUUUAAUUUCAAAAUCUUCAAAAUGAUUAUUUGUCUUAAAUAGACUUGGUAACUAUUGUACACUAUAGUAAUCACUGAUAGAAAACAAUAAUUUUUAAAAUAUAUUUAUUCUCAAGAUGAAUAUUAAAAAUGGCAAAUGUAUGAGUUUAGUUUUUAAAAAAUGAAUAAAUGUAAAUUUUACAAAAAGGAACCAAAAAGUGAUACAAACAGGUUUUUUCUCUAAAAUCUAAUUCCAAAUUUUUACUCUUUCUUCUUGUGUUGCUUUUCCUUAAAUUUCAGCCACUUACCAAAUUUGUAAUGAAUUUUAUAUCCAAUAUUUAAUGCUUUUUACUCAGUAUGUUAGGUAGGUCCCACAUACAAAACUCUAACAAAGUGCCUAUGAUGCUGACUAGAGUUUUAAAUGACUGAUUGAUGGAUGUUCAAUAAGUUAAAAAAUGUGAAUAAAAUGUUAUGCUCUAAAGGAAAACUUUAAAAGUAAAUGAUCAUAUUAAACUGCAUUAGACAUACUUAAUCACAUUAUUGUUAGAUACUAAUAUAUGUCUGUUAUCAGUACAAAUUGCCAAAUUGGUUGACAAAUUUUAACAAGGUGAUUAGAAAUCAGCUUUAUAGUAUUUUCACCUUGAUGUAAAUGGAUGCUUUUAAUUAAAUGAAACACUAUGACACUAUUAUUCAAAACAUAUAUCUAAAACCUUGCCUAGGAGUUCCCUUGUGGUGCAAGGGCUUAAGGAUCCAGCAUUGUCACUGCAGCGCUUGGGUCAUUGCAGCGCUUGGGUCAUUGCUAUAGCAUGGGUUCGAUCCCUGGCCUGGGAAUUUCCAAGUGCCUCGAGCACAGCAAAAAAUAAAAAUAAAAAUAAAAAAUUUGUCUAAAUGCUAGAUAAAGAGAGAAUCCUAUAGACGUCAUUUUUCAGUUCAAGAGAAGUAAUGUUAUUUUAUUAUUAUUUUUUUUAUUAUUAGGGCUGCAGCUGAGGCAUAUGGAAGUUCCCAGGCUAGGGAUUGAAUCGGAGCUGCAGCAGCCAGCUACACCACAGCCACAGCAACGCCAGAUCUCAGCCGCAUCUGUGGUGGCAUCUCAUGGCAGUGCUGGGUCCUUAACCCACUGAGCAAGGCCAGAGAUCAAACCCACACCCUCAUGGAUACUAGUCAGGUUGGUAACCCGCUGAGACACAAUAGGAACCCCAAGAAGUAAUAUUACUUUAAAUUGAGGAAUUAUUUUUGAAUUAUUUCUUAUAAUUUAAACCAACAUUUUUAUUCUUAUUUCUUUAGUACCCUAACAUUUCCCAGUUAUAAAAUACAAGUCUCUGGACUUGUAUUCAGUAGUUUUUCUGGUCUUUUUGCCUUUAAUUUCAAGGCACAAAUGAAUUACAAUAACCUAAAAGAGUCAUUGCAGUUUCUGAUAGAACAAGGGAGUGAGAAGGAUCUCCGAAAAGGUCUAACCUUUGAAAGAGGUGUUUAUUGGGACUUUUAAUGAUAUCUUAGAGGACAUUUUUAUUAAUUUAAAAAGCAUUUAAGUCAAAAGGUAUUGUAAAUCUUUUUCAUUUAUUGGGAGCAUCACCAAAGAAAACAAACAACAACAAAAGUUCAAAUAAUUAAUUAGUGUUUUCAAAUAACAUAAUUUGGUAAAGAUCUGAAAAUUUAUUUUAAAAAGAUAUCUUAAAAUAAAGUCAAAUUAGGAUGUAUACUUUAAUAAUAAUACUAUUAUAAAACAUUCAAACCAUAUAAAUAUAUCCUGUUUGUAUAGUUCAUUUCUGUCAAGUAAAUCAUCUCCAUUUUCCAGACACAAUUUAAACAAAGCAUCUAUAGAAAAGUGCACAGUAAAUAUAGUAAUUAAAAUUCUUAAACAAAAGUUUUACAAAAAUAUAACAAGUUAAAAAUUUAGAUUAUAAAUUCCCAAGAGUUCCCUUCCCAUGCACAUGUAUCUUACAAAUGUUUAAGAUACAGAAAUAAAGGCUAAUAAACAAACAGUAAUGAAAGUGUACAGAGUCCAUUGGCUCUUUUUCUGAAGAGGUUUUCCUUCAGGAAUAUGUCCAUAAGUGGAAAUGUAUAAA